AUCUCCCCUCUCUUCUCUUCCCUUUUCUUCCUUUCCCCCUCUCUUCUUUGGAUCUCUUUUUCCCUUUUCUCUCCUUUCUCUCUCCCUCUAAAACUGGUCUGACCCCCCAACGUGAGGUAUUCGUCUCCGGGUGCACUUCAUUGGGUGCUCGUGAGGGGCCUCGUAGUUACUGUGAAAAAAUUAGAGUGUUCAAAGCAGGCUCAUAUGUUCGGAUAGUCGUGCAUGGAAUAACUGAAUACGUGACUGGCGCUUUUCAGUUGGUCUCGGCGACUGGUCAAAUGAUUAAGAGGGACUGCCGGGGGCAUUGGUAUGACGGGGUUAGAGGUGAAAUUCUUGGAUCCUCGCCAGACCAACAAAAGCGAAAGCAUUUGCCAAGAAUGUCUUCA
rnacentral:rRNA from 1 species